AUUGUGAGCUAUAUGUGUGGAAUUCAAGCUAAAAUCGAAAGGAAGCGUAUAAGUAGAUAAGUUGCUAUGGUGACGUGCCGAAGGAAGUAACAAGUGACUGGCCAGUAGAAUUAUCUAGAUACGCAUCCGAGUCAAUAACGAAGUAGUAUGCCAUUAUUGUGAGAUAGUGAUCGGCCUAGCAUGCAAUCAUCGGCACUUAUGGUUCACUGCGGAUAAGUAAAAGCAUCUCAUAGCAUUUCAUUCUGAGUCACUCCGCUACUAGAGGUCAAGUCAUUCGUAGCAUAAUUUGAUUAUAAAUAGUAUUAAUGUAAAUGUAUGGUUGGAUA